CUCCCCCUGAGCUCCUAACCUCUCCCCCCACCCAUCCCCCCUGAUCACCUCCCGCUUAUUAAACUGCAGGUGAACUCGGGAGCGCCUGGCGCCGCGCCGACCCCGCGCGGUUCCGCGGCUCCGAAUUCACCCCCAAGUGUCAAAGCCCCCCACGUCCUCCACCAGGCCGCACGGGACGGGCGGGGCGAAACCAGCAGGACGCUUGGAUCCACCCAGUCUAGAGGGGACAGGAGGACCAGCGGGGAAGAGGGGACGCUAAGGCCGGGGAGAAGACGAAGAGCCAAAGCAGCAGGGCCUUCCAGCGGGGAGAAGGCAGUUCCCUCCCCACACUGACCCUGCUGCAAGAUGCGUCCAAAGGCCUUGCUGUGGCUGGAGCAGUUCCAGCGGCGGAAGCGGAACUGGAACUGGCACUCUCGCACCCCGAGCCGGGCGCCCCGGGCUAGCUCAGCCACCACUUCCGGCUCAGCCUGGCACAACUCGGCCUGCCGCCCUGCCAGCCGCCGUGCCUUCCGGCAAAUGCUGGAGGAAGGAGCUGAAGACUGAAUCUCUGAAGCAAUGUUGUGAAAUAGCUGACACUGACCCUUCUCCUGCUCCAGGAUCUGGCCUUUCCAGAACAGAAUAUCAGCAAGCCAAACUUGGACAUAAAGCUCCUUGAAGGCAAAGACCUCCGGAGAAAGCCUGCGUCCCAUUAGAGAAGCACACACAGAGUGUUUGGGAUCCACCAGACUUGGGUUAGAGUCUGAGCUCUGCCUUUUGCUUGUUGUAGGAUUUUGAGCACGUCCCUUGCACAUGAA